rnacentral:lncRNA from 1 species
GAUCUCUCCACCAUGCACCUUGUGACCCCCUCCCCUGCUAACAAUAGAUAACUACUUUUAACUGUAACUUUCCACUGUCUACCCAAGCCCUAUAGAGCUGCCCCUCUCCUAUCUCCCUUUGCUGACUCUCUUUUCGGACUCAGCCCACUUGCACCCAAGUGAAUAAACAGCCUUGUUGCUCACACAAAGCCUGUUUGGUGGUCUCUUCACCUGGAUGUGCUUGACAUUUGGUGCCAUGACUCGGAUCAGGGGACCUCCCUUGGGAAAUGAAUCUCCUGUCCUCCUGCCUUUUGCUCCAUGAGAAAAUCCACCUACAAACUCGGGUCCUCAGACUGGCCCAAAAAACAUCUCACCAAUUUUAAAUCGGCCACUUCUAAGGCCCCUGGAGCUCUGGCUCAAAGCUCUCUGGCUGACUCCUUCCCAGAUCUCCUUGGCAAGACUGAUGCUGCUCAAUCGUCUCAGAAGCCCCCCGGACCAUCAUGGAUGCCAAGCUUCAGGUAACUCUUACAGUGGAGGGUAAGUCCGUCCCCUUCUUAGUCAAUAUGGAGGCUACCCCCUCCACAUUACGUUCUUUUCAAGGGCCUGUUUCCCUUGCCUCCGUAACUAUUGUGGGUAUUGACAGCCAGGCUUCUAAACCUCUUUAAACUCCCCCACUCUAGUGCCAACUUGGACAACAUUCUUUUAUGUACUCUUUUUUAGUUAUCCCCACCUGCGCAGUUCCCUUAUUAGGCCAAGACAUUUUAACAAAAUUAUCCACUACCCUGACUAUUCCUGGAAUACAGCCGCAUCUCAUUGCUGCCCUUCUUCCCAACCCAAAGCCUGUUUUGCAUCCUC